AAUUCCCAGAUAAUUUAUUAGAUUAAGACCUCACAUACAUACAUAAAUAUAUGCUCAAGAUGGGAUUCAACAGCAAGAUUGGAGGGGCUAGAAAUGGAAAGGGCGUGAUCGCUGUAGGUCCACAGCGUGCAAGGUGCACACAAGCAAUGACUACACAAACACACAGCAGGGGUGUGUGUACGAGCCGCUUGGGAAGAACACGAAGCGAAGGCGAGGGUGUGAGCCUCAGCAGAAGUCAUGUUACUUUACAAAGCCUCAUGUAGAACACAGUCCGAUGUGUAGCUGAAGCAUAUUGACUGGCAACACUCUGGACAACAAGCUAUGGCUGCACUAACUCCCCAGCGGCAGCUUCCUAAUAUAGGGGCUUAAACUUAAAAGGACACUGUCAAGUGAUUGCUUUUACUAGUUUAAUUUUUGCAUUUCCUCUACUGUUUCAGCAGAUGGAAAACAAUUCCCCUCCCAGUCCCAGCUACUGAUUUUGUCCUUUCCUAUUUGACAAUCAUUGAUUUUUUUUUCUAAGGCUAUAAAUGUUUUAAUAACUUCAACUUUGUAGUGCCUCGUGGCAAAAUAUCUUUGCUUGCACUGACUGCUAAACACUAUUCCUAAUGUACUGCUGAUAACUAGAGCAAGAGCCAGCAUUAUAAAAAAUGACUUUUCAUAGGGUCUACCAAAUUAAUAGCUUUUGUUUCUUCAUCCACAUCUCACAGAAACUUAAAACAUGCAAGUCUUUACCCAUCAGACAUUUCAACCACCUUAAUUCUAGGAACUUUUGCUCAUUAAAGAUAUGCCUCCCAUGUAGCUCUGACUGACGGACAGCACUUUGUGCGUGGACUCACAACCCUGACAAUGUCCUUUUAAAAAGAGUUCCUACCAAAACAUAGAUUCAAGACAAAAGUCAUUCUCUGAAUUAGAAUUGUUAAUGGACAAAAUGGAGCACCAGGAAUUCUAAAGCAGUUAAAUACUGGCACCCACAAAGAACCAAAGAACAGAAUGCUCCCACGCAGCGAUCUUGACCAGGUACACAAAGGCACCUUUCAAGAGAUAUACAUGUAUUUUCGCUGUUUCAAAAGAUCAGUUAGCGCUUGUUAGAAAAGGCAAUUAAAGUUUCAGUCAAACUGGAAAAGAGAAGAGAAGCAAUUGGACUGAAAUCAGAGAAGUGUUUCUUUAUAAAUGCCAAACCUCAACAACACCGCCCCCCUCCGAACAAAACUAAAAAUCACAUAAAUCAACCCCAAGCCCUCAGAUCUAUGUGAUGGCAUUUCUUCAUGGUUUUCCACAGUUUUCCUGCUGCUCCUUGUACAUUUUUCCUCUUCUUUCCCUUCCUUUUCCCUGCCCUUUUAAAGAAGCAGACUACUUUGCCAGCAGAAUGAGAAAACCUAUUUCCCCACCUGCUAUACUUGGGUCAGGGCACUGAAUACACCUUUGGGGCUUUAAGCAGAAACCUGUGCCUUCGCAAGAGGGCAACAUUCAACAGCAAAUGGGCAUAUUCAAAAGAACUCUAAUAUUCCACAAACAACAGGACAGACCAAGAAGGGCCUUCCCACAGUAGUCAUUUUCUGGUCCAGCAAUGCUGCUUCUGUUCUUUAAACUCCCCCAAGCAGCUUUUAAUAUUCAGCUGGGAUGCACAAAAAGGCUAUCACCUAAUUUGUGAUUAAGACUGGGCCUGAACAAAGCAGCUCAAGAGUAACCUGAGGUUCAUCUUCCCCCUCAUUCUCCUUUUGUUUCAUUGCUGUAAGAGCACGGUGCUGCCAGGGGCACGUGCUAGAUAGCCCGCGCUGAUACUCUCAUCAGAGAUGUACCGCGGGCCUCAUUGCCGAGCCUUGCAAGCUCCUUGCAGAGUACCAAACAGGCGUAAGAGUGCAGAAGGCAGGCAGCAGCAAUACCCCAAGGACUGGUAUAGCAACUCACUGCCAUUAAGAUAAGGCGGGUUGCCUAAAGAGACUCUCAGAAAAGCUGUACUGGCCCACAAUGUGGUGUUUGGAAGCAAAUGGCCUAGAACUUGCCUGUACUGGCUCAAUUCUACCUUUCCCUUGCUGCAAUUUUACUGUGCAAAAUGAGUAUUUUAGCCUCAUAUUUCUAGGAACACAUGCCGGUGGCUACUGUUACAAUAAAAUAUGAACACUGCAUUGUGGAGAAAACGAUCAUUAAUCCUGUAAUCUGCAGUCAUUUUUACCAAUUCGGCACAUUUCUUUAAAUAAGCAAGUACAUGCAGUAGAUGGAAGUGCAUUUAAAUAAACUGAAAUAGAUACAGCAUGAAUAAUUAAAGCCGGCAGGGAAAUGUGCAUUGUGAGCCGCUAGUGGAAAUAAUUACUGAUUUGUCUUAUUUACAAUGGAGCCUGGGUACAGGAUCAAAAUAGUGCAAAUUAGUGAAAAUGUCUUAAGACUGUUCUUAUACUACCAGUAUACUAUUUUUCAUCUUGAAAAGUACACCAAAUAGGUUUUGGACCACUACAAUGUCUGACUGUGUUCUGCUAUUUCAGGAUCAGGUUACCCAGCACAUAAACUCUGUCAAACAGCACUGAUUUAAAGAGGAAUGUAGUUCAAACAGAUGUGUAGUAUGUCAAUCUGCAACUUGUCUAUUAAUGU
ensembl:lncRNA